rnacentral:rRNA from 1 species
AGUAGCGGUGAAAUGCGUAGAUAUCGGGAGGGAACACCCAGUGGCGAAGGCGGCCUCCUGGGCUGCUCCUGACGCUGAAGGCGAUAGCUAGGGGAGCGAACGGGAUUAGAAACCCCGGUAGUCCUAGCCGUAAACGAUGGAUGCUAGGUGUGGGGGGUGUAGAUUCCCUCCGUGCCGCAGUUAACGCGUUAAGCAUCCCGCCUGGGGAGUACGGCCGCAAGGCUAAAACUCAAACGAAUUGACGGGGGCCCGCACAAGCAGCGGAGCGUGUGGUUUAAUUCGAUGCUACACGAAGAACCUUACCUGGGCUUGACAUACAGGUAGUAGUGAAGUGAAAGCGGAUCGACCCUUCGGAGAGCCUGUACAGGUGCUGCAUGGCUGUCGUCAGCUCGUGCCGUGAGGUGUCGGGUUAAGUCCCGUAACGAGCGCAACCCUUGCUCUUAGUUAUACGUGUCUAAGAGGACUGCCGGCGGUAAGCCGGAGGAAGGUGGGGAUGACGUCAAGUCAGCAUGGCCUUUAUGUCCAGGGCUACACACACGCUACAAUGGUCGGUACAAUGGGUAGCUAAACCGCGAGGUGGAGCCAAUCCUGUAAAGCCGGUCUCAGUUCGAAUUGCAGGCUGCAACUCGCCUGCAUGAAGUCGGAGUUGCUAGUAAUCGCAGGUCAGCAAUACUGCGGUGAAUACGUUCCCGGGCCUUGUACACACCGCCCGUCACGUCAUGGAAGCUGGCAACACCUGAAGCCGGUGAGCUAACCCGAAAGGGGGGCAACUGUCGAAGGUGAGGCUGGUGACUGGGACGAAGUCGUAACAAGGUAACCAAGGGCGAA